AUGUAUACACACACACACACACACACACACACACACACACACACAUAUAUAAUUUUUAUUAAAUUUUCUGUAUGUAUGUGUGUGUGUGUAUAUAUAUAU